UACGGAGGGUGCGAGCGUUGUCCGGAAUCACUGGGCGUAAAGGGCGCGUAGGUGGCGCGGCAAGUCAACGGUGAAAGCUCGACGCUCAACGUCGAGUCGGCCGUCGAUACUGCUGGGCUUGAGCACUGUAGAGGCAGAUGGAAUUCCGGGUGUAGCGGUGGAAUGCGUAGAGAUCCGGAAGAACACCGGUGGCGAGGGCGGUCUGCUGGGCAGUAGCUGACACUGAGGCGCGACAGCGUGGGGAGCAAACAGG
rnacentral:rRNA from 1 species